AAAAUAUAAAAAAAUGAUAUAAUUGUAUGGGAGGCCCAAUAGGACUUUUGGGCCCACCAUAGCAAAAUAGGUGGGGCCUAUUAUGUGCCAAAAUAGGUGGCACGCCCCACCUAGGUAACCUUCUAUUUUAUUUGAUCAAGCUCUAAAGUUUGAGAGAUAAGCUUGUGUUGUUUUAAAAAAGCUUAAAUCUUUGAGAAAAUUUUGAAUGAAAUUUUUGUAUGUAUGAGAAGAC
rnacentral:lncRNA from 1 species